rnacentral:rRNA from 1 species
CCCUUAGAUGUUCUGGGCUGCACGCGCGCUACACUGAUGCGUUCAACGAGUGUACAUCCUGGCCCGGUAGGGUUGGGUAAUCUUCUGAACACGCAUCGUGAUGGGGAUAGAUUAUUGCAAUUAUUAAUCUUCAACGAGGAAUUCCUAGUAAUGGUGAAUCAUCAGUUCAUCGUGAUUACGUCCCUGCCCUUUGUACACACCGCCCGUCGCACCUACCGAUUGAAUGGUCCGGUGAAAUCUCGGGACGGCGGCUUGGUCGCUUGCGUCCGACUGCUGAAACUUGAUUAAACCAUAUCAUUUAGAGGAAGGUGAAGUCGUANCA